GAGGGAUGAAAUGAUUGGAUAUAUUAAUGAAAAGUGAUAAAGGAGCCCAAAGUAAAACAUCGGGAAACAGUCAAAUUAAGAGGUGUGCUCAUGAUGGGUCUGUUGAACAAAGGAAUAUCCUGACAGGAUAAAAUAUGGGCAAUAUGCUCACUGCAGAGAGACCAAUCUGAAAGCAAGGAGUCAUGAAAGGAGUCAAGUUAAAGAAAAGCAUAAAAGGGGGGAGCAAGAAAGUUAAGCAUUGUCAUCAUCAUCAUCAUAAAUCCAUCUUUCAACGCACAGCCAAUGAUGCACCCUUUGCUUCAGGAACUGAGUGGCCGUCUUUACCGUUGAGCAAAGUAACAUUUGGGAUUGGGAAUCAAGACAUAGUAAUCAAAUCUCCUCCAGGGAGUUUGUGAGUGCAUAAGCAACUCUUCAAGCCUAGAAGCCACAAUUGGAUCAAGUGGUGCCUGGGAAGAAGGUUCCCAAGAGUCUCCUGUUAGGGAUCAGUGUUCUUAGUGGUCUGGAGAGAAACUAAGGGUAACAGCUAUAGGACAAGAUUGUGAAUGACUCUAAAGCCAGCAGAUUAGCAUAAGACUAGAUAUAAAAAGAGUGUGCAUCAGGUGACCAGCAGGAAGGAGGGAACAGAAUGGUCACUGCUGUUCCACGGCCGGACCCUGGACUCCCGGUGUGAGUGAGGAUCAGAUCCUGAUCAAGGAAUCUUCCCCAGUAAUCCCUCUGACUGUGUCAAUCAGGGACACCUGACUUCGCUGGAAUCACCUGGCGCGCACUUGGCAUUGAGCGACUAUCGAUAAGUUACCAACCCAUGUCUGUCUAUUUGUUGUUUUAAACAGCCAGUGGCUGAUACCCUCGCAGUGCCCAGCUGGCCUGCGACAGAUUGAUCUAUCUAUCUGUUGUUAUUAUCUGUUGUUAUUAUUUACUAUUAGCUCUUUAAUACUGCAUUAUCUGCUUAUCGCAUUUAUCUUUCUGUUAACUGUUAUGUGUGUAUAAGCUAUAAUAAAUUUGCCAUU